rnacentral:rRNA from 1 species
AUGAAGUUUGAAAGUUUUGAGGAGGUUGUUGCUCACUACGAGCUAUAUGCACUUAGAAAUGGAUUUGGGACAAGGAUAGAGUACACAAGAACACUGAAGGACAACAUAGUGAGCAGAGCACUCCUGGUGUGUGGGAAAGGCGGCAAGCCAAAGAAGAAGGAGGAGGAGGUGCAGGAUGUACUGAACCCAGAAGGCAUCAUGAAGAAGAGAAAAAGGCGUAAGGUUAAGAGGACUGAGUGUCCAGCCCACCUUUACCUUAUGCACAAGGAUGUGUGGUGGAGAGUCGAACGCUUUGGUGACAACCACAACCAUCCACUAAUAAGUGAUGCUGAGAAUGUACCAUACACAACACAGGACCUUGCAAAUCAGCGAGCCAAAUUUCGCAAGGAGUACCGUAAUGCAGAUGUGGGGAGCACAAUUGCAUACUUUGAGGAGCUCAGGGCAAAGGAUCUAGAUUUCUAUUGGAGAAUGAAACUUGAUGAUGAAGACAGGGUGGAAAACGUGUUCUGGAUAGAUGGUACAUCACGUAGGGCAUAAGCAAAAUACAACGACAUUGUGUCAUUCGACACAACGUACAUGACUAAUAUGUAAAAGAUAUUGUGUUCCCCCUUGAUUGGCAUUAACAACCACGGGCAAUCAAUCCAAUUCGGUUGUGGUUUCGUUCGAAACGAACUGACUGACAACUUUGUGUGGCUGUUUAACACAUUCUUGCAUGCGAUGGGUGGAGUUGCACCAAAGAACAUAAUCACAAAUCAAGACUUUGCCAUGAGGAAUGCUAUUGACGAGGUGUUCAUCGGGAUAGUACACAGAAACUGCAGAUGGCACAUUAUGAAGAAAGCACAGGAGAAGCUUGGGAGGUUAAUGGCCGAUGAUGAACCACUGAACAAAGCAUUCAAAGAUUGUGUUGACAACAGCUUGAAUGUUGAGGAGUUUGAGGGAAAAUGGUGGAAGAUGCUGGACGAUCAUGGGCAAACGGACAACGAGCAUUUCCACUGGCUGUGGGAAAACAGGGAAUGCUGGGUCUCGGUGUACUACAUGCAUGACUUCUUCCCAUUCUUGCAGACAACGGCAAGGAGCGAGGGAUUCAACGAUGUGUUGAAGAAGUACGUCAACCCAAAUAACUCGCUAGUGGAAUUUGCAAAAUAG